CCUGUGGAUCAAGACGAACUGGACUCCUGGGACUCGAUGGUGUGAGGACAAUUUAAAAAUGAGGAAGAAAAAAAGGGAGUGAAGAGGUGAAAAAGAUGGAUGUGUUUGUGAGUUCAGUUUGAAAUUAGAGGGAGAGAGGGUGGUGUACAGUGAGAGUGUGUGUGUGUGUGUGUGUGUGUGUGUGUGUGUGAGAGAGAGUGAGAGAGAGAGA